AANGAUGGUUUCGGCUAUCACUUCGGGAUGGGCCUGCGGCGCAUUAGCUUGUUGGUGGGGUAACGGCCUACCAAGGCGAUGAUGCGUAGCCGAGUUGAGAGACUGAUCGGCCACAAUGGGACUGAGACACGGCCCAUACUCCUACGGGAGGCAGCAGUAGGGAAUCUUCCACAAUGGGCGCAAGCCUGAUGGAGCAACACCGCGUGAGUGAAGAAGGGUUUCGGCUCGUAAAGCUCUGUUGUUGAAGAAGAAUGUGCAAGAGAGUNACUGUUCUUGUA
rnacentral:rRNA from 1 species